ensembl:miRNA
AGCUUUGAGAACUGAAUUCCAUGGGUUGUGUCAGCGUCAGACCUGUGAAAUUCAGUUCUUCAGCU